rnacentral:rRNA from 1 species
AUUGAACGCUGGCGGCAUGCUUUACACAUGCAAGUCGAACGGCAGCGGGGGCUUCGGCCCGCCGGCGAGUGGCGAACGGGUGAGUAGUGCAUCGGAACGUGCCCAGUCAUGGGGGAUAACUACGCGAAAGCGUAGCUAAUACCGCAUACGCCCUGAGGGGGAAAGUGGGGGAUCGCAAGACCUCACGUGAUUGGAGCGGCCGAUGUCAGAUUAGCUAGUUGGUGAGGUAAAGGCUCACCAAGGCGACGAUCUGUAGCGGGUCUGAGAGGAUGAUCCGCCACACUGGGACUGAGACACGGCCCAGACUCCUACGGGAGGCAGCAGUGGGGAAUUUUGGACAAUGGGCGAAAGCCUGAUCCAGCCAUGCCGCGUGAGUGAAGAAGGCCUUCGGGUUGUAAAGCUCUUUCGGACGGAAAGAAAUCGCACGGGCUAAUAUCCCGUGUGGAUGACGGUACCGUAAGAAGAAGCACCGGCUAACUACGUGCCAGCCGCCGCCGUAAGAC